rnacentral:rRNA from 1 species
GCGCUCCUACGGGACGCAGUAGUGAGGAAUAUUGGUCAAUGGUCGGGAGACUGAACCAGCCAAGCCGCGUGAGGGAUGAAGGUACAGAGUAUCGUAAACCUCUUUUGUCAGGGAACAAAGGCGGGGACGCGUCCCCGGAUGAGUGUACCUGAAGAAAAAGCAUCGGCUAACUCCGUGCCAGCAGCCGCGGUAAUACGGAGGAUGCGAGCGUUAUCCGGAUUUAUUGGGUUUAAAGGGUUCGCAGGCGGUCUGUUAAGUCAGCGGUCAAAGCCCGGGGCUCAACCCCGGCCCGCCGUUGAAACUGG